GCAGUCCUGGUUCAGGAGGAGAAUUCUUGCCUUCCAUGCAGAAGCCCUGGGUUCAAUUCCCAGCCAAUGCC
rnacentral:tRNA from 1 species